GCGGUCAUAGGUGAUAAUAUUAUGAACUGCUUGGCGGUCAUAGGUGAUAAUAUUAUGAACUGCUUGGUGGUCAUAGAUGAUAAUAUUAUGAACUGCUUGGCGGUCAUAGGUGAUAAUAGUAUGAACUGCUUGGUGCUAAUAGGUGAUAAUAGUAUGAACUGCUUGGCGGUCAUAGGUGAUAAUAUUAUGAACUGCUUGGCGGUCAUAGGUGAUAAUAGUAUGAACUGCUUGGCGGUAAUAGGUGAUAAUAGUAUGAACUGCUUGGCGGUAAUAGGUGAUAAUAUUAUGAACUGCUUGGUGGUCAUAGGUGAUAAUAGUAUGAACUGCUUGGCGGUAAUAGGUGAUAAUAGUAUGAACUGCUUGGCGGUAAUAGGUGAUAAUGGUAUGAACUGCUUGGCGGUCAUAGAUGAUAAUGGUAUGAACUGCUUGGUGGUCAUAGAUGAUAAUAGUAUGAACUGCUUGGCGGUCAUAGAUGAUAAUAGUAUGAACUGCUUGGCGGUCAUAGGUGAUAAUAGUAUGAACUGCUUGGCGGUCAUAGAUGAUAAUAUUAUGAGCUGCUUGGCGGUCAUAGAUGAUAAUAGUAUGAACUGCUUUGGCGGUCAUAGAUGAUAAUAUUAUGAACUUUCUGUUCAAUAAAGAAAAACAUGAAAAAAGUUGGGACUGAACUCGUAAACGGCGACCAUGUCGCGUACAAACACACGCGAUCACGCACAACAGCAUACACUCAACCACACACACCAGCAUACACUCAACCACACACAAAAGCAUACACUCAACCACACACACAGCAUACACUCAACCACACACACCAGCAUAAACUCAACCACACACACCAGCAUACACUCAACCACACACACCAGCAUACACUCAACCACACACACACCAGCAUACACUCAACCACACACACCAGCAUACACUCAACCAUAAUCAAACUAUUUCUAACACUUCAUUCCAAAUGAACUGCAGGACAUUCCAAAGUCCUUUCUAUCCUUCUAGUGUUAACAUUAAGAUACGUGUGGAUAAAUCCUUCAUCAGACAUCUUGUCCUCAACCAGUAGUGUGUGUCUGUCUGCAGGGUGGUACAAUGACCUUCCAUCAAUGAGUUAUUAAUACAAUGAAUGUGCUGUGACCUCUGUCAUCCCAGGGUUACCUCUGUGUAUCCACACAGCAUUUCCUGACCAUACUGAUUACCUGCAAAUGACAUCAGUUAGGCCUAUUAUGACCUUUGAACCUCCACCCCGCCCCCAAGGCCCCUCUCACCCCUCGUACCCCUUCUGGCGACCCCUUACUCAAAUAAUGGGGAGGGGUUACGAGGUAAGCCAGAGCAGUAGUAUCUAUCAGAAUCCUUCCUUCCUGUUUGACCUCUCCUAACACAGAGCCAGACGUGUGCAACCCCGACAGAACACGAACACACACUGUUGAGAAUAUCAUACAAAACCAAUGCAAUCUUUUUCUGUUGUAUUGUAAGUUGAUGAUGUUAUAUAUUGUGUGUUAUUUUCCUCAUAAAGACAUAGGCUACAAUACUGUUCCCUAAGAACUAUCUUUGGUUAUUUAUUGUGUUAUUAGCGAUAAUACACAGACAAAAGGCAAGGCCUCACUGUUAGGGCUUCUCAGUUGAACAGUUAAUGGAUGACUUAAAGCACCUUUCAUUUCUUCAGAGUUAUGAGCUCCACUAACUCUUUUGAAAACACACAACUUGUCAGCAAAAGGCAGCUCAGGUUUGUUGGUUUAAAGCUGAGGAUCUCUCUAGGGAACACUGUAUAAAUAAGAAUUAUACCUCCCUCUUGGUUUCGCUGCGCCACAAGCUAAAACGGUUCAUCAUUUUGCUGUGAGGUCACGGAAAUGACAUUACAUUCUUUCCCUUUUGUGUCUCGUCAAAUUACGGCAGUAAACAAUAAUACCUGUCUAAUGACUUUAGCGCCUGAGCUGGCAGAUUGUGUAGAAACACACUUUAGGGAUCAGGGGAAUUAUAGUGGCAGGUUUUUAUAGUACUUUGUAAUAUACAUUUAAGCUAAUUUGUAGUCAUUGUGGAGACUUUGUGGUUAAAAUAACAAUUGGGGAAGCACAUGAAAGACAAUUGUGUUUAUUGUGUCUCUCUUUGAAAAAACAAUCCCGCACCAGGAAAUGCCUCCUCUCUCUCUGUCUGGUAACAUACCUGUAAACCUAGGAGGUUAGGAGUGGCCUGCAAGUCCAAAUAACCAGUUGCCAAAGUAAAAUAAUGUGCCUCGACCAAAUAAGAGGGUUCCCAGAAAUGAUUUAGAAUGUAUGUUGCGAGGCAGACAGAGUCUUACCAUCAAUGCUUUAGCCUAUGUUUAGCAUCAAUGCUUUAGCCUAUGUUUACCAUCAAUGCUUUAGCCUAUGUUUACCAUCAAUGCUUUAGCCUAUGUUUACCAUCAAUGCUUUAGCCUAUGUUUACCAUCAAUGCUUUAGCCUAUGUUUAGCAUCAAUGCUUUAGCCUA